CUUCUCUCUCCCCGGACUGUAGUUUUGCCCCUUCCGUGGUCAGUCAAAAUCCACCGAAUUUCAAGCUCUUUUUUCCUCACUCACACUCUCACUGAAGCUCUCUCUCUCUCUCUCUCUCUCUCCUCGUUUCGCUGAGAUUCUCCUUCCUAGGGUUUAGGUCUUGUUUGUUGUUCCAUGGCUUCUUCGUCUUCUGAUCCUGGCUUCAAACACGAACCCGGUGCCUGUAGCACUGCUGCUGCUGGAAGAGGGACGGCGGAAUCUUCCGAGGUUGUUAUGGCAAAUGAUCAGCUUUUACUGUAUAGAGGGUUGAAGAAAGCGAAGAAAGAGAGAGGUUGUACUGCCAAAGAACGCAUUAGUAAAAUGCCUCCGUGUGCUGCUGGAAAAAGAAGCUCCAUAUACCGCGGAGUCACUAGGCAUAGAUGGACUGGUCGUUAUGAAGCUCAUCUUUGGGAUAAAAGUACUUGGAACCAGAACCAGAACAAGAAGGGAAAGCAAGUGUAUCUGGGAGCAUAUGAUGAAGAAGAGGCUGCUGCUAGGGCUUACGAUUUGGCUGCCUUAAAAUAUUGGGGUCCUGGGACUCUUAUUAAUUUUCCAGUGACUGAUUAUACAAGGGACCUCGAAGAAAUGCAGAAUGUUUCAAGAGAGGAAUACCUUGCAUCUCUAAGAAGAAAGAGCAGUGGAUUCUCCAGGGGAAUAUCCAAAUAUCGAAGUCUCUCAAGUCGAUGGGAUCCUUCAUUUGGUCGCAUGCCAGGCCCUGAUUAUGUUAGCAGCAUAAAUUAUGGUGCUGGAGACGAUCAAGCAACUGAAAGUGAAUUCGUCCACAACUUCUGCAUUGAAAGGAAGAUUGACUUAACAAGUCACAUUAAGUGGUGGGGGCCGAACAAAACUCGAACAGCCAGUGCAGGCUCAAAGUCAUCAGAAGAAGACAAAAAUAGUUGUGCUGGAGAAGUUGGCAGUGAACUCAAAGCUCUGGGACAGACCACCCGUCCUACAGAGCCAUAUGAGAUGCCCUGUUUGGGUACUUCUGGAGUAAAGAAGCCUGCUUCCAAGAUCUCUGCUUUAAGCAUUUUGUCACGGUCAGCAGCCUACAAGAGUUUGCAGGAGAAAGCUUUGAAAUUACAGGAAACUAACAACGAGAAUGAUGAGAACGAAAAUAAAAACACUGUUAACAAGAUAGAUCAUGGGAAAGUGGUUGAAACACCUACUACAAGUCAUGGUGGUGAUCCCAGUGAGAGAUAUGGGGUUACUUUCGGAACAAGUGGUGGAUUGCCACUUCAGAGAAAUAUGUUCCCCUUGACUCCAUUCUUAACAGCACCUCUUCUUAGCAGUUACAACACCGUUGAUCCUUUGGGAGAUCCUAUUCAUUGGACAUCUCUCGCUUCUGUUCUUCCUACCGGACUUUCUCGCACAGCUGAGGUUAGUUUUCAAAGGACAUUCCAGUUUCUUUCAUAGUAAAUGUUAAUGUUCAGUAUGCAUUGACCUGAACUAAAGUAGCCCUAGCGGGAGAAGAUGAAGAUAUACUCUUGGUUACGAAAACUGAAACCUCUUCAACUUACACUUUGUUUCGGGCUGAGGAAUAAAGUUCAAGGAAUUUCUCGCACACCCUACAAUCACUUUUGAGCUGAACUCAGUUAGACUGGGUUUCUGUGCUGAUGUUGCAGCAUCUAUACAUGUGAACAAGCUUUAAGGAAUAAAGCUUUACUUAAAUCACAUUAUGCUCAAGAACACAUUACACAUUGUACAUACCUGAGGCCUCUUCGAUAUUUCUAAAAUGCAAGAGGUGAUGAAUAUGGUCACGAAAGGAAGCACAUACAGUUGUAGAAGAAAGGACAACAUCAAGUCUUAGAAUAUCACACGUCUGUUUUAUAUCAUGCACAUGUUAUCUAGUCAUAUAUAAAUUUGAUUUUGUUCUUGAAUAUGUAUUACUUGGUUAUAUUUAUAUCCGGUUAUCAAUUUCAAUGUUUUACUCCCA